UCUGCCCCCUCACAUCUGCUGUCUCACGCUCUGACCCUCCUGCCUCCCCCUUACAGGGACCCCUGGGCAACCCUGGGCCUGGCAGAUCCUGUGGCCUCAGCCACCAGCAAUGCCGAGAAAAAGACUGGGGCCAGAGGGGUGAAGCAUGGGACUCUGGCCAAGUGACGAGGACCUGAUUCAGGAGACAGAUCCUCAGCGCCCUCCAUGCCGGCCCUGCCUCGGAAGCCAGGACCCCAGAGAGGAAGAAGCCAGAAAGAACCAGGUCCUGGAGUGCGCGGAGCCUGCCGUCCUCUGCGGAGUCAGAAGUCAGGCCGCGAGGAUGGACAGGUGCUUCCUCCACGUCCCCGGGCAGAGACGGUGUGCGGGUGAGGCAGUGCCCAGUCUUCUCGUGAACGGCGGACAGGCAGCGUGUUUACUCCUUCCUCGGGAGCUGUGCCCCCCAGGACAUACCGCGCCCCUGUGAAUGGUGAGGGCUGAAGGGAUUUCAGCAGAAACCUGUACUCUCAGGCUUCAUGACUGGUGCUGGUUUGUGAGGCCCGGACCACACCAGGAGGGAAGGGUUCCAGGACAUGAGGCGUGCAUGUUUUCAGCCCCGCGAACUGGUUCCCUGGGUGACACCAUGACCUUGUGAGCCAAGAGUGAGCAUCUAAGAGAUGGGCGUCUCACGGACUACCUGUGCAGCUUCUAGAACAAUCCUCCCCUUUCCGAGGUCAGCUGAGGGAGGCCUGUCCUUGGGCCCUGUCACUGGUGAGCCACGUGGCCCUGGGCAUGUGCCGAAGGAGGGGAGGGCUGCUCUCCCCCCGUGUGAUACCCGGGUCAGCCCAGCAGCCCAUUGUACAGGUGAUGACACUGAGGCCCGUGCACGUGAGCUGUGAUGCCCAGUCUCACCUUGGGGAGAAUCUGCGUCCAUCCCUCCUCCAGGAAGACUGUCCCCACCAGCUGAACAGCAGUGAGAAGGGCCUGUGGCCGACAGCGUUGGCUUCG